CCUACGGGAGGCAGCAGUGAGGAAUAUUGGUCAAUGGCCGGGAGGCUGAACCAGCCAAGUCGCGUGAGGGAAGACGGCCCUACGGGUUGUAAACCUCUUUUGUCAGGGAGCAAGGUGCAGGUCGGGACCUGCUGUGAGAGUACCUGAAGAAAAAGCAUCGGCUAACUCCGUGCCAGCAGCCGCGGUAAUACGGAGGAUUCGGGCGUUAUCCGGAUUUAUUGGGUUUAAAGGGUGCGCAGGCGGAGGCACAAGUCAGCGGUAAAAUCGCGGGGCUCAACCCCGCUCCGCCGUUGAAACUGUGGCCCUUGAGUGCGCGAAGGGUAGGCGGAAUGCGUGGUGUAGCGGUGAAAUGCAUAGAGAUCACGCAGAACUCCGAUCGCGAAGGCAGCCUACCGGGGCGCAACUGACGCUCAUGCACGAAAGCGUGGGUAUCGAACAGGAUUAGAUACCCCAGUAGUC
rnacentral:rRNA from 1 species